ACAAAAUGCCACCCAAAUACACGUACUAUUUCUUUAAAAACUACGGAUCCAGUGGAGAGCUGUCUCGAUUGUUGUUUGUCGCUGCUGGUGUUGAUUAUGAAGAUAUUCGAGUGGAAAUAUAUGAACCCGAGUCAGAGUGGAUAGACCUUAAACCAACUAUGCCUGGUGGAACUCUGCCUGUUCUGGAACUUGAUGGUCAGUUGUUUGGGGAUAGUGUCUUAAUAGUCAGAUAUUUAGCUCGUGAAUUUGCUGUCCUGGGCAGAUCUUGCCGUAUUUGACAUGAUGGAUCAUAUAAUGGCGUUUAAACUCAAUGUUUUAGAUAAUCACCCAUAAAUAGCAGCCAUCUUUAAAUUAGUGCCGUCAUUACCUGGACUUUCUGAAUAUCUGAAAAAUCGUCCAAUGACGUCAUCUUAGAGUGACAAUCAGUCAAUACAA